ensembl:lncRNA
AAUGUUUACACCCGAAACUCCACCACGUCCACAGAAGCAAAAACGUUUGCAAAUGUACAGACGUGAGUGGGAAGAGUGGAACCCCUGGCAGUACGAGGCAAACUGUGUUUUCUGUUGUUCAUGGACUGGCUGAAGUAAAGCAGCAUCAGGAGACAAACAUGGAGGAAAUAUGAGAACAGAGAGAACCCAACCAGUAGGUCACAGUUUAUCAUCAUCUAAUCAUCUCCUGAAGUCCAUACGGUUUCCCAGAGACUAUGGGUUGAGGAGGAAGUGGAAGUUUGUCGGCUUAGACCUGGUGUCAUUCCAUCAGUGUUUAACUUCCUGGCUCAUCUUGGAAGAGUACGUGCCAGAAAGACCACGACCAAGCAGCCUUGAGAUCUUAGGCAGCGUCUCCCUGAGGUCCCUCUCUAUCUCCACACAUCCACCAACCACUGGAACACAUCUCCAAAGUUCUGCUGGGCCAGCUCAGCUUCCCCUCAGAAGAAGUGCUGCCACCUGCCAGAUGAAGGAGCCUUUUGAGAGGCAGCUGGCAUCGUGAUUGGACUGUACUUUGGUCUGUUCCAAUCCAGCUUCAGCUCCAGAGACGGCAGGUGGGACGAGUCAACGGAGGCCUGGUGGACGAAGGCAUGCAGCUGAGUACAAUCCAGAAAACAACAGAGGAGGAGUGCAGGGCCAGAACAAGUAGAGUAGUCAAAGUCAAAGUUAGCUUUAUUGUCAAUUCUUCAAUAUUUACAUGACAUACCAAGAAUCGAAAUUAGGUUACGUUACGAGUAGCAUAGUAUGUCUCUUCGAAAACAUCAUAGUAUAGCCUUUGGGAUGAAAAAACGCC